CCCCUAAUUUGUAUGGAACAAAACAAAAUGGAUUUAAAGAAGACAUUCUUUGUUCUAGUUUCAUAUAUGUACCUGAAUUAUAGUGAAGCUUUCGAACAUCAAGUGUGUUUUAACGAUAAAACGGAAGUCUACGUGUGUUGUCAGGAUUUUAGGAAUGUUUCUGGAAAAUGCGAAGCUUGCAUCGGUUCAUGGGGAACCGAAUGUCGUAACAACUGUUCAUUUGGUUUUUAUGGACACGGAUGUCGUCAUAAGUGCAGUUGUAGUAAUCGGCAGAUAUGCAAUACCAAACAAGGAUGUAUUGAACCAU